ensembl:snoRNA Gm22659 small nucleolar RNA SNORA17
UCUGCCCCUAGAGGUGUUGUAGGUGUGGCUGCUGUGUCACAUGUACGUCAGUAGGUGGCAGAGAUGAGAGAGGCUGUGUCUAUGCUCAGGGUUCUGGCCUAUGGACUUUUGAAUGACAUUCCUGGAGAAA